GUGAGCAAAAAAUGGAGCUUUCUUGAAAAUCUUGUUAAAGGUAUAAGGAGCCUACCUAAUCAAUUGAGAGUGAGAGUUCUUCCACAAACAUCUCUAAAAAUCUAUUUUGGCAUGAGAAAUAUAAAACAGAAGGGGAGUUUACCGAAUUUAAAAUGAAGAAGAUAACUAUGAAUGGUGGAUACCGGUGGCCAGGGGCGAAUUCAGCAUCGGAGUUCAGCUAGGGCGGAUUUUGGCUGUUGUCCGUUGAUCGUUGACCAUCAAUGAUCGUAAUAGCGAGAUCGUUAAAUUUAAUUAAAUAAAUCCAACGUUUGGUAUACCAACACAAAUACAUUAUCCUUCUUUGAUAUGCCCAACACAAAGUGACAUCGAUCAAAUAUUUUUUUUUUUUAAUUGAACAAAACUUAGAAUAUAUCCUUAUUCAAAAUAAUAUUGACGAGACUAACUGAAAUUGAAGGAAUUUAUGCAAACUCUACAUGCUACUCUUGUCCUUGUUGUAGACUAAAAUAUUGAUUAUCAAUGAAGAAGUAUAUGUUCACUUUGAAGACCAAGUCAACAAAUUGCCAUUCAAUUCAAAUUUUUUGGGCUAUAUUCUCCAAGCCCUCACUUCCACUAACAUAUUCCAGGCAUAUAAACAAUUGAAAAGUGAGAUUUCUAAUUAAAUGAUCACACUACAUACUACACUCACUCCUGUUCUGGAAUUCAAUUAUUCCUUCAUUUCUUAACAACUAAAGUAAAUGCCUCUAAACAAAACGGAUUCAGAAACAAAAGCUCAUUUAUGAACUAAAUUUAUCUGCAGACAAGUAAAGGCUCUUGUUUGCACAAAAAAUAUAGGGACCUCACCUCAAUGCAAUGCAAUGAAGACAAAAGUGUCAACUAAACUCAAGAAUCGAGAUUAGCAAUAAUUUUUCCAGUUAUCAUGAUCUGUAUGAAAAUUAAACAUAAAUUAAACUUAAAACUUAAACUAUUAUCAAUUUCCAAUUUCUAAUUUCCAACACUAAUUGAACAUUUCUCACAAGUCAUAAAAUUCCCAAUUUACAAACCACAGUCACAAAUUCACAAAAUUUACAAAUUUCCCAAUUUUCAUAAAUCAUAAUCAUCACAUUUAACAAAAUAAUCAAAUUAAGGCAUCAAAAUGAAAAGGGAAAAAAAAACAGAAUAGCUCACCAGACACCAAGGCCAGAAGUCUCACUUGCAGUCGCAGCCACUAGCGAUCGACUCACCGUCCACUCAACUAGCAUGCCGCACGGUCGCACUCGCACCACUCCAGUGACUCUACCGUCCACCUCCUCGUCGCUCACGGUCACAGGCCACACACGCUCACCGGUCACUGUCCACUCAACUCACACCACUCUGCCAGGCACCAGCCCAUAGUCCACUGCCUUCACAAUCGCAAAUCGCAAUCGCCCUUUUCCCAGUUUCGGUUCAGCCCUUCGUUUAUUGGUUUCAAUUUUGGACUUCAAAUUGGUGAAGGCAAUGGAAAUAUUCUCCAACCGUCUAUUAAUUUCAAGGAAUUGGGCCACUGGAUUUGGGUGUCAUUUUUUUUUAAAAAAAGGCCCAAAAAUGAGAAAAAAUAGGCCCAAUUGCCAUCGUCUUCUUCAUCAGUUCUUCGGCCUCUUCAGCUCCUUUACCUCCUUUCCGAUUUUCUUCCCGGCGAACUGGCUGCUAAGCCUGCUAUUCUGCAGAUUCCGACGAAGCCAGCACGGGCGGCCGCGCAAGCUCGCCAGGUGCUGGCUCCGCCACUG
rnacentral:lncRNA from 1 species